GACUGGAUGGCCGAGCGAUCCAAGGCACUGCGUUUAGGCUGCAGUCUAUUUCGAUGGGUGUGGGUUCAAAUCCAGCUCCAGUCA
rfam:Trichuris trichiura, WGS project CBXK01000000 data, contig: TTRE_203